AUUUCCGGUUGAUCCCGCCGGACCUGACUGCUAUCGGAUUGAUACUAAGCCAUGCGAGUCUUUGCAGUAAUGCAAGGCGGACUGCUCAGUAACACGUAGUCAACUUAACCUAUGGAUGGGUAUAACCUCGGGAAACUGAGAAUAAUUCCCAAUAGAUCAUUUAUCCUGGAAUGGUUGAUGAUUGAAAUGAUUCGUCGCCAUAGGAUGGGACUGCGGCCUAUCAGCUUGUUGGUGAGGUAAAGGCCCACCAAGGCUAUUACAGGUACGGGCUCUGAGAGGAGAAGCCCGGAGAUGGGUACUGAGACACGGACCCAGGCCCUAUGGGGCGCAGCAGGCGAGAAAACUUUGCAAUGUGCGAAAGCACGACAAGGUUAAUCCGAGUGAUUUCUGCUAAAGAAAUCUUUUGCCAGUCCUAAAAACACUGGUGAAUAAGGGGUGGGCAAGUUCUGGUGUCAGCCGCCGCGGUAAAACCAGCACCUCAAGUUGUCAGGAGGAUUAUUGGGCCUAAAGCAUCCGUAGCCGGCUCUGUGAGUUUUCGGUUAAAUCCAUAUGCUCAACAUAUGGGCUGUCGGAAAUACUGCAGAGCUAGGGAAUGGGAGAGGUAGACGGUACUCGGUAGGAAGGGGUAAAAUCCUUUGAUCUAUUGAUGACCACCUGUGGCGAAGGCGGUCUACCAGAACAUGUUCGACGGUGAGGGAUGAAAGCUGGGGGAGCAAACCGGAUUAGAUACCCGGGUAGUCCCAGCUGUAAAC
rnacentral:rRNA from 1 species